AACGAACGCUGGCGGCAGGCUUAACACAUGCAAGUCGAGCGCCCCGCAAGGGGAGCGGCAGACGGGUGAGUAACGCGUGGGAAUCUACCCAUCUCUACGAAAUAACGCAUGGAAACGUGUGCUAAUACCGUAUACGUCCUUCGGGAGAAAGAUUUAUCGGAGAUGGAUGAGCCAGCGUUGGAUUAGCUAGUUGGUGGGGUAAAGGCCUACCAAGGCGACGAUCCAUAGCUGGUCUGAGAGGAUGAUCAGCCACACUGGGACUGAGACACGGCCCAGACUCCUACGGGAGGCAGCAGUGGGGAAUAUUGGACAAUGGGCGCAAGCCUGAUCCAGCCAUGCCGCGUGAGUGAUGAAGGCCCUAGGGUUGUAAAGCUCUUUCACCGGUGAAGAUAAUGACGGUAACCGGAGAAGAAGCCCCGGCUAACUUCGUGCCAGCCGCCGCCGUAAUAC
rnacentral:rRNA from 1 species